AGAGUUAGAUCCUGGCUCAGGAUGAACGCUGGCGGUCUGCUUAACACAUGCAAGUCGAACGGAACUCUUCGGAGUUUAGUGGCGGACGGGUGAGUAACGCGUGAGAAUCUGCCAAGAGGACCGGGACAACCACUGGAAACGGUGGCUAAUACCGGAUGUGCCUUAAAGUGAAAGGGGUUUCCCCGCCUCUAGAUGAGCUCGCGUCUGAUUAGCUAGUUGGUGAGGUAAAGGCUCACCAAGGCGACGAUCAGUAGCUGGUCUGAGAGGAUGAUCAGCCACACUGGAACUGAGACACGGUCCAGACUCCUACGGGAGGCAGCAGUGGGGAAUUUUCCGCAAUGGGCGAAAGCCUGACGGAGCAAGACCGCGUGAGGGAGGAAGGCCUUUGGGUUGUAAACCUCUUUUCUCAGGGAAGAACACAAUGACGGUACCUGAGGAAUCAGCCUCGGCUAACUCCGUGCCAGCAGCCGCGGUAAUACGGAGGAGGCAAGCGUUAUCCGGAAUUAUUGGGCGUAAAGCGUCCGCAGGUGGCUAUUGCUAGUCUGCCGUCAGAGACCGGGGCUUAACCCUGGAAAGGCGGUGGAAACUGCACAGCUAGAGAGAGGUAGGGGUAGAGGGAAUUCCCGGUGUAGCGGUGAAAUGCGUAGAGAUCGGGAAGAACAUCGGUGGCGAAAGCGCUCUACUGGACCUCAUCUGACACUCAGGGACGAAAGCUAGGGGAGCGAAUGGGAUUAGAUACCCCAGUAGUCCUAGCCGUAAACGAUGGAUACUAGAUGUGGCUCGUAUCGACCCGAGCCGUGUCGCAGCUAACGCGUUAAGUAUCCCGCCUGGGGAGUACGCACGCAAGUGUGAAACUCAAAGGAAUUGACGGGGG
rnacentral:rRNA from 1 species